CAUGAAUAGUGUCCCAAUCUAUUGAGCUAUCGGUUCCUAAACAGCAUUCAAAAUAUUGAUUCGUGUCAUUUACUAAAAUGACAUAAAAAAGAAAAUUGACGAAUAAAGUGAAAAUUACUUUUUUUUGUUCAUUACAUAUUGUGUCGGUUUAAAAAAAUUGAAUACAAUGUUCACGAGCAUUUAUAACAGACACGACAUAUAAUUGUGAAGGCCCUCUACCAACGCAAAUUUUUUUGAAAUCCCUAAACCCCCAAAAAUUAGAUUCUUGCAUGUUCACUUCAUCUCAAUCCAGACUUGCGCAAAAAGAUCUGACAAUUUUGAAAGUGAUCCCCUCUCGUCACUUCGUCUUGAUCCUCUUCUUAUUGUCUUCUUCAUGUCUAUCGGUGACCUAGCCCCAACCCCCAACCUCAAUCCCAAUCCUGACCUUCUUGUCUCUUCUUCUUAAUCAGGCAGCACAACCACAACCUUCUCCUCUCUUCACGUAAGAAAAUUAGUUAUGCAGAAAAGUUACAUAGAUCUCAAGCGCCGAGACAUUACAUUUCAACCAAGAGAUCAUGUUUUCCUGCAUGUGUGUGACCAAUGAAGGGAAUCAGGCGUUUUGGGAAGAAAGGCAAAUGAAGUCCUAGAUUUAUAGGACCUUUCGAAAUACUUGAAAAGAUUGAACAAGUUGCAUACCGAUUAGCCUUGCCACCAGCAUUGUCACCUGUGCACAACGUAUUUCAUGUCUCAAUGUUGAGGAAGUAUGUAUCUGAUUUAAUGCAUAUUCUGAGUUAUGAGGCAUUGGAGUUACAACUGGAUCUGUCUUUUGAUGAGCAACCAGUGCAAGUCCUCGACAUGAAGAAGAAAGUUUUUCGAAACAAAACUAUAGCAUUGGUUAAGGUACUUUGGAGGAAUAACAAAGUGGAAGAGGCCACUUUGGAGUUGGAGUCUGAUAUGAGGACUCAAUAUCCAGAGCUAUUCAGGGCCCUAUAAAGUGUCGAGCUGCAGUUCCACUCAGGCUAACCGGCACACGUGAGCACAGAAACGAUCGGUAAGAUAGCAUAAAGUAUAUAUAUGUAAAUGUAUGCAUGUUAAUAAUUGUUUACACUACUAACACUAACGAAAAUAUGGUUUUAAGGGUGUUAGUACACUGUAGGGUUUUAGGGUAGUUACAGUGUUACCAACACGAGUAUCAAGGGGUACAUCGUGCAUGUGGUACAACACUCAGUAACUCCGAGUAGUACAUAUAAUGGCCCUACCAACACAAGUACAGAGUUGGUACUCUAGUGCAUAUGGUACAGUGGUCGCACUUCCAUUGAGAACAUUCUUAACCAUUUGGUGAGCUUAGCAAUUGAGCUCAGGACGGAUCAGGCAUAAAGACGGUGAAGGUAAAUCUAAGCUGGAGGAGCAGUGAGAUGAGCUUGGCAAGGAUUGUACAUAUCGCGACAGUGCAACCUAGAGGGUUCCGAUCUUAUUGCAUUUUGAGUUUCAUUUUGUGGUUGCCCUGUAGUUUGUAAAAAAAAAAUAUUAUGUAACUUUAAAUACAAUACAUGUAUUUUCAACAAAUGAUUUUAAACUCGGGAUCCCGAUUAAUGAAAUUAUAUAGAUAUAAUAAAAUGAGUUUAAAUCUAAAUUAGUCAAUUUUUAAAUACGGACAUUAUAAUAAGGCUUUUUCAGUCUUAACGAACUAAGGCUCGUUAACGCCUUAACCACGCAAAAAUUCUAAUGUUAUUU